rnacentral:rRNA from 1 species
UACGUAGGAGGCAAGCGUUGUCCGGAAUCACUGGGCGUAAAGCGCGUGUAGGCGGUGCGGGAAGUCUGCUGUGAAGGCGCCUGGCUUAACCGGGCGAGGUCGGCGGAAACUCUCGCACUGGAGGCCGGUAGAGGGGGUGGAAUUCCACGUGUAGCAGUGAAAUGCGUAGAGAUGUGGAGGAACACCGAUGGCGAAGGCAGCCCCCUGGGCCAAUACUGACGCUCAUGCACGAAAGCGUGGGGAGCAAACAGG